rnacentral:misc_RNA from 1 species
GAUGAAGAACGUAGCGAAAUGCGAUAAGUAGUGUGAAUUGCAGAAUUCAGUGAAUCAUCGAAUCUUUGAACGCACAUUGCGCCCCAUGGUAUUCCGUGGGGCAUGCCCGUUCGAGCGUCAUUUACCCCCUCAAGCUCCGCUUGGUGUCGGGCGUCUGUCCCGCUUCGCGCGCGGACUCGCCCCAAAGGUAUUGGCAGCGGUCGUGCCAGCUUCUCGCGCAGCACAUUGCGCUUCUCGAGGCACCGGUGGGCCCGCGUCCAUCAAGCUCACCCCCCCAGUUUGACCUCGGAUCAGGUAGGGAUACCCGCUGAACUUAAGCAUAUCAAUAAGCGGAGGA